rnacentral:rRNA from 1 species
AGAGUUUGAUCCUGGCUCAGAUUGAACGCUGGCGGCAUGCCUUACACAUGCAAGUCGAACGGCAGCACGGGAGCAAUCCGUGGUGGCGAGUGGCGAACGGGUGAGUAAUGUAUAGAUAACCUGCCCUUAAGAAAGGAAUAACAGUUGGAAACGACUGCUAAUGCCCUAUAUGCCUUUAAUACAUAAGUAUGCAAGGGAAACGCUUUUAGUGCUUAAGGAUGGGUCUGUAUGGUAUCAGCUUGUUGGUGAGGUAAUGGCUCACCAAGGCUAUGACGCCUAACUGGUUUGAGAGGAUGAUCAGUCACACUGGAACUGAGACACGGUCCAGACUCCUACGGGAGGCAGCAGUGGGGAAUAUUGCACAAUGGACGAAAGUCUGAUGCAGCAACGCCGCGUGGAGGAUGACACAUUUCGGUGCGUAAACUCCUUUUAUAUAGGAAGAUAAUGACGGUACUAUACGAAUAAGCACCGGCUAACUCCGUG